GACGAACGCUGGCGGCGUGCUUAACACAUGCAAGUCGAGCGGUAAGGCCCUUUCGGGGGUACACGAGCGGCGAACGGGUGAGUAACACGUGGGUGACCUGCCCUCAGCUCUGGGAUAAGCCUGGGAAACCGGGUCUAAUACUGGAUAUGACUCCAUGACGCAUGUUGUGGGGUGGAAAGCCUUGUGCGGCUGAGGAUGGGCCCGCGGCCUAUCAGCUUGUUGGUGGGGUGANGGCCUACCAAGGCGACGACGGGUAGCCGGCCUGAGAGGGCGACCGGCCACACUGGGACUGAGACACGGCCCAGACUCCUACGGGAGGCAGCAGUGGGGAAUCUUGCGCAAUGGGCGAAAGCCUGACGCAGCGACGCCGCGUGGGGAUGAAGGUCUUCGGAUUGUAAACCCCUUUCGGGAGGGAAGAUGGAACGAGCAAUCGUUCGGACGGUACCUCCAGAAGCAGCCACGGCUAACUUCGUGCCAGCAGCCGCGGUAAU
rnacentral:rRNA from 1 species